AACGAACGCUGGCGGCAUGCCUAACACAUGCAAGUCGAGCGGGCAUCUUCGGGUGUCAGCGGCGGACGGGUGAGUAACGCGUGGGAACGUGCCUUCUGGUUCGGAAUAACGCAGGGAAACUUGAGCUAAUACCGGAUACGCCCUUUUGGGGAAAGGUUUACUGCCGGAAGAUCGGCCCGCGUCUGAUUAGCUAGUUGGUGGGGUAACGGCCUACCAAGGCGACGAUCAGUAGCUGGUCUGAGAGGAUGAUCAGCCACACUGGGACUGAGACACGGCCCAGACUCCUACGGGAGGCAGCAGUGGGGAAUAUUGGACAAUGGGGGCAACCCUGAUCCAGCCAUGCCGCGUGAGUGAUGAAGGCCUUAGGGUUGUAAAGCUCUUUUAUCCGGGACGAUAAUGACGGUACCGGAGGAAUAAGCCCCGGCUAACUUCGUGCCAGCCGCCGCCGUAA
rnacentral:rRNA from 1 species